rnacentral:rRNA from 1 species
AUUGAACGCUGCGGCAGGCUUAACACAUGCAAGUCGAGCGAGCGGCGGACGGGUGAGUAAUGCUUAGGAAUCUGCCUAUUAGUGGGGGACAACAUCUCGAAAGGGAUGCUAAUACCGCAUUCUAAUAGUUGAGCCUAAGUCGGAUUAGCUAGUUGGUGGGGUAAAGGCCUACCAAGGCGACGAUCUGUAGCGGGUAUGAGAGGAUGAUCCGCCACACGGGGACGAAGACACGGUCCAGAGUCCUACGGGAGGCAGCAGUGGUGAAUAUUGCACAAUGGGCGCAAGCCUGAUGCAGCCAUGCCGCGUGUGUGAAGAAGGCCUUCGGGUUGUAAAGCACUUUCAGCGGGGAGGCUUUACCCGCAGAAGAAGCACCGGCUAACUCCGUGCCAGCAGCCGCGGUAAUAC